GUUUAUGACAUGCGAUUUGAGCUGAAUGAAAUAGAAGCUAGAAGGGAGCAAUACCCUUCAACUAUAUCAUUCAUUAACUUGUUGAAUACACUUAUUGCCACGGAAAAGGAUGUUAGUGAUAGAGGGCAUAGAUUCAUUGGCAUCUUUAAAUUCAUUUAUGAUCAUGUCUUUGGACCAUUCCCACAGAGAGCCUAUGCCGAUCCUUGUGAGAAGUGGCAACUUGUCAUAGCUUGUCUGAAACAUUUCCAGAUGAUGUUGAGUAUGUAUAGUAUCAGAGAUGAGGAUAUUGAUAGUGUUGUGGACCAAUCUCAGCUGUCAGA
rnacentral:misc_RNA from 1 species